rnacentral:rRNA from 1 species
UACGUAGGGUGCAAGCGUUGUCCGGAAUUAUUGGGCGUAAAGAGCUCGUAGGCGGUCUGUCGCGUCGGCUGUGAAAACCCGAGGCUCAACCUCGGGCCUGCAGUCGAUACGGGCAAACUAGAGUACUGCAGGGGAGACUGGAAUUCCUGGUGUAGCGGUGAAAUGCGCAGAUAUCAGGAGGAACACCGGUGGCGAAGGCGGGUCUCUGGGCAGUAACUGACGCUGAGGAGCGAAAAGCGUGGGGGAGCGAACAGG